UGGGGGAUAUUGCACAAUGGGCGAAAGCCUGAUGCAGCGACGCCGCGUGGGGGAUGAAGGCCUUCGGGUUGUAAACUUCUUUUGCUCUGAACAAGGCAUGCUAAUGGGUGUGUUGAGUGUAGGGGUUGAUUAGCGCCGGCUAACUACGUGCCAGCAGCCGCGGUAAUACGUAGGGCGCGAGCGUUGUCCGGCAUUAUUGGGCGUAAAGGGCUUGUAGGUGGCUGGUUGCGUCUGUCGUGAAAGCUCAUGGCUUAACUGUGGGUUUGCGGUGGGUACGGGCUGGCUUGAGUGCAGUAGGAGAGGCUGGAAUUCCUGGUGUAGCGGUGGAAUGCGCAGAUAUCAGGAGGAAUACCGGUGGCGAAGGCGGGUCUCUGGGCUGUUACUGACACUGAGGAGCGAAAGCAUGGGGAGCGAACAGG
rnacentral:rRNA from 1 species